rnacentral:rRNA from 1 species
CCUACGGGUGGCAGCAGUGGGGAAUAUUGGGCAAUGGGCGCAAGCCUGACCCAGCAACGCCGCGUGAAGGAAGAAGGCUUUCGGGUUGUAAACUUCUUUUCUGGGGGACGAACAACUGACGGUACCCCAGGAAUAAGCCACGGCUAACUACGUGCCCGCAGCCGCGGUAAUACGUAGGUGGCAAGCGUUAUCCGGAUUGCGUGGGUGUAAAGGGAGUGUAGGCGGGAAUGCAAGUCAGAUGUGAAAACUCAGGGCUCAACCCUGGGCCUGCAUUUGAAACUGUGUUUCUUGAGUGCUGGAGAGGCAAGCGGAAUUCGGGGUGUAGCGGUGAAAUGCGUAGAUAUACGGAAGAACACCAGUGGCGAAGGCGGAUUGCUGGACAGUAACUGACGCUGAGGCGCGAAAGCGUGGGGAUCAAACAGGAUUAGAUACCCGUGUAGUC